rnacentral:rRNA from 1 species
UACGUAGGGUGCAAGCGUUGUCCGGAAUUAUUGGGCGUAAAGAGCUCGUAGGCGGUUCGUCGCGUCGGCUGUGAAAACCUGAGGCUCAACCUCAGGCCUGCAGUCGAUACGGGCGGACUUGAGUACUGCAGGGGAGACUGGAAUUCCUGGUGUAGCGGUGAAAUGCGCAGAUAUCAGGAGGAACACCGGUGGCGAAGGCGGGUCUCUGGGCAGUAACUGACGCUGAGGUGCGAAAGCGUGGGGAGCAAACAGG